rnacentral:tRNA from 3 species
CAUAGCUCAGCUGGUUAGAGCGCUACACUGAUAAUGUAGAGGUCGGCAGUUCGAGUCUGCCU